ensembl:lncRNA
CAGAGGCUCCUGCUCCUUGAAUUCUUGAGCCUGUCUGGGGCUUGGAGAUGCUGAACUGCUGGUUUCUUGGUGCUUCCAGUCUUCACAGGUCUAAGUUUUUCUGAUAUAGUAGAACCGAAAGCAGGGGCUCUGGUUGCUGCCUGAAACUUGCUCUUCAUCCCUGCACAUCACCCCUCUCAUCUCCUCCCUCCCAACUCCGAAUGCAGCAAGAGCAUCUCAGGUUGGACCAGAGAAAGAAAAGAACAUCCUGCAGGAAAUUGCUUGGGUCUCCUGAACCGAGGGGCUCAGGUCUGGUCUUCCUCCUUAUCGCUAUCACCUUGUCCUUGGCCACAUGGAGGUGGCUUCCUACAGUUGAUGAGAAGCUGGCUUUCUCGUGCAAAGAGCCUUGUUCUUCCCAAACCAGGGCAGCUGCUGUUUUUGAGGUGACGACGCAGAGGUGUUUUUCCCACACUGUACCCACACGCUCUCUGCUUCUCUCAAGACAGUUCCGGGUCUCAGUUUCCCCCGACAGCGUCCGUCCUUUCACGCAUAUCAUAGCCUGUUUUGUUAUUGUUGUUGUUUUUACUCUGGCUAAGGAGGAUAGGAACACCAUAGGAGGGACGGAUAAACAUGGGCCCUGUGAUGAGAGGCGAGAAAACAUCAGCUCUAUUUGGGAAUUCGGUGGAGGGAGCAAUAAACGAUCUUUGGCACUUCGUUCUUUUCAGGACAGUUUCUCUCAUCUCUGAAAAUGAAUGAUCGCGAUGAGCAAGGGUUGCCAGGUAGACCGUAGAUACUAGACAUGCAGUUCGAUUUGAAUUUUAGACAAACAGCGAAUACGUUACUAAAAGUCUAAUGUUACAGUUCUGUGUAUUUGAGGUAGUUCUUAAGUCACCUCGGUGGCUCAGACGGUAAAGACUCUGCCUGCAAUAUGGAGGACCUGGGUUUGAUCCCUGGAUGGGGAAGAUCCCCUGAAGAAGGAAAUGGCAACCCACUCCAGUAUUCUUGGCUGGAAAAUCCCAUGGAGGGAGGAGCCUGGUGGGCUACAGUCCAUGGGGUCCCAAAGAGUCGGACAUGACUGAGCAACACACUGAAGUCCCCCCCCCCCCCCCCGGCUGGUGUUCUAGGUGGUGUUUAAAGGAUGGGCCCCCACAGGACUCAGACUUAGGAGAAUCAGUUUCUGCAUCUCCCGGAGACGGACAGACAGCCACGUCUCACGUCCGCCUGCCCACCUGUCUCUGCUCCCACAUGGCCUUUCACACCAGCCUUCUCUCUCUUCUAAAAAAGGAAACAAAGGCAUUGCCCUUUGUUGUAAAAACCUCCAGGGUGGAGACAGGGGGUGAAUAAAAAUAUCUCUGUUUGCACUGCUGUAUUUAAAACAGAUGACCAAUAAACAAAUGAAUUACUUUUGAAAAAACGUUAAAAUAAAAAUAGGGCAAGGGACUUCACUGGUGAUGUAGUUGGUAAGACUUCCUGCUUCCACUUCAGGGGACACAGGUUCCAUUCCUGGUUCGGAAACUAAGAUCCCACAUGCCGCUCUCCAUGGUCAAAAUAAACAUCUGUGUUUGCAUUGAGAAAGCAAAAGCCUUUUGUAACUGAGGUGCAAAUCACUUUGCAAGUGAACAGGGGCUACCCUCCAGCUGCUGGGAGAGGGCUUCUCACUGCGCUGGCUUCUGUUGCUGUGGAGCACAGGCUAUAGGCACAAGGGUUCAGUAGCUGCAGAGUCCUGGCCCAGCUGCCCCUUGACAUGUGGCAUCCUCUGGGACCAGAGAUUGAACCUGUGUCUCCUGCAAUGGCAGGUGGAUUUGUAAACACUGGCCCACCAGGGAAGUCCUCCAGCAAUUUUUAGCGGGUGUUGGUGAAGAAGUUUGAAGAUCACUGUUUUAUAUCAUUGUCUCCCUGCCAUUUCUGCUCAUAAUACUUACAUUUCUAGACACUUUAUAACUCUGAACAAUAAAACAUGUCAGCGUCAUUUUACUAAAAUUUCAGAGGAUUCCUGGUCCCAAGUUCUUGGUACCCCAUCAUGCUGCCCUUCUACUCUGAACUGGGUGGUAGUUGCAGGGUCAUGAUACAAGGGCUUAAAUUGGAGAAACC